AAAAAAGAAAAAAGAGAAAGAAAAUAAAUGUUAAAUGUAAGUGAUGCAAUAUUAAUCACGGGCGCUGAUAUAAAAUGCAAUAUUUCAAGGAGCUGAAGGGCUUUUAUUCGGAGCAGAGCAGCAGCGCCGGAGAGCAAAGAAACCGACAGGAAAGAAGGAGAGAAAAAGGAAAAAUAAAGACGCGGUUAUUGUUCGCGUUUGGCUUUCGGCGACGUGAAAAAAGGAGCUGCAGUGAGUUCAUUAGCUGUCACUCAUACCACCAUGAAAAAAACCCAGAAAUGUUCCGGUAGAAGUCGUGGGAGGAUUACUGGAGGACAAUGCAGGACAGCCACGUUUACCAUUUACAUCUGGUCAACAUAACGUUCGUUGCCUCUGAGCCCCCGGUGUCGAGUGUCAUGCUGACACGGAGAGAGAAGAUGAUUAAAGCUCAUUAAAGGUGAACUCCAGGAAUCGGAGGUCUGACGCACGAUGAAUCCUAAUCUGUCUCUCAAAUCGCACACUUCUGUACUCUUCUAUUUACGCACUCUUUGACAUGAUGUUUUAGUGUAAAAAAAAAAUAAAUAAAAAAAAAAAGUUGUGUGUGUUCAUGCUGAGAAACCUUCUUCUAUUAAAAUACACAGAUGGAAUGACAGGAAUGUUGAAGUUCAACUGGUCGUUACUUCAGCUGACCAAUCAGCAGUCUGUCUGUCCGUCUCUCUAUACAUCCAUCCUUCUU
ensembl:lncRNA